UACGUAGGGGGGCUAGCGUUGUCCGGAAUCAUUGGGCGUAAAGCGCGUGUAGGCGGCCCGGUAAGUCCGCUGUGAAAGUCGGGGGCUCAACCCUGGGAUGCCGGUGGAUACUGUCGGGCUCGAGUCCGGAAGAGGAGUGUGGAAUUCCUGGUGUAGCGGUGAAAUGCGCAGAUAUCAGGAGGAACACCAAUGGCGAAGGCAGCACUCUGGGACGUGACUGACGCUGAGACGCGAAAAGCGUGGGGAGCAAACAGG
rnacentral:rRNA from 1 species